UGUAAGCGUAUACCAAAGUUGUUGCAGUUAAAACGCUCGUAGUCGGAAUUUGGCAGUUCCGGAAGUGUGCACGUCGUGUGCGCACUUUGCGGGGACUGCUUUUGUGGUCUUGCGUAGGAUGAGGCACUUUCAUUAGUGAACGUCCUCACGCAACCACUCUUUACUGUGAGAAAAUCAGAGUGCUCAAAGCAGGCAUUUGCCGUGAAUGUAUUAGCAUGGAAUAAUAGAAUAGGACUCGGUUCUAUUUUGUUGGUUUGCUGGGACUGAGUAAUGAUUAAGAGGGACAGUUGGGGGCAUUUGUAUUCCGGCGCUAGAGGUGAAAUUCUUAGAUUGCCGGAAGACAAACUGCUGCGAAAGCGUCUGCCAAGGAUGUUUUCAUUGA
rnacentral:rRNA from 1 species